rnacentral:lncRNA from 1 species
CUGGGAUUACAGGUGUCAGCCACAGCACCCAGCCAGGAAGGAGGAUUUUUAUAUAACCAAACCAGAAGAGAAUAAUGUUUCUUCAGUCUCUAAGGACUCAGCUCCUUACAUGAGCUUUGGUGGAGGUAAUGAGGCAGCACCUGCAGGUCUAAAUCGAGAUGGGAAUGUUCAGCCUUCGUGGGCUUCACAAGAUUGAUUCCUGACUACCUUGCUGUGAAUGGCACAACUCACACCAUAAUGCAGCUUCAUAUACAGCUUGGGAAGCACAUAGGCAUCAAAGAUAUUCUUUAGAAAUGUCCCUAACAACUGCAGCCUUUGCUGUGUUUUGAAUGAUGAACCUAAUAGCCUUAUCCGUAGGCUGCACAUGGCUGUGAUCCUUUGUGGCAACACCAUUGUUUCUUCUUUUCUUUGUCAUCUUGGAAGCAAGGACCCUAAAAACAAUAUUUUUAUUGUUUUAUUAUCUGCCUGACACAUCUCUAUGGUAUUUUUUCUCCUGCUUUUUGGGAUGCAGUUUCUUUGAUGUCCUCUUCAUGAGACAAUGCUUUUGUAUUAGCAUUACAGAGAUACCGUAAUCUUAUUAUAGAAAGAAUCCAAUGUUGCAGUUGAUCAAAAUUUGUGGGUUUUUUUUCUUUUUCUUUUUUUGAGAUGGAGUUUCGCUCUUGUUGCCCAGGCUGGAGUGCAGUGGCAUGAUCUUGGCUCAUCGCAAUCUCCACCUCCCAGGUUCAAGUGAUUCUCCUGCCUCAGCCUCCUGAGUAGCUGGGAUUACAGGCACCUGCCACCAUGCCCAGGUAAUUUUUGUAUUUUUAGUAGAGAUGGAGUUUCACCAUGUUGACCAGGCUGGUCUCAACUCCUGACCUCAGGUGAUCCUCCCACCUCGGCCUCCCAAAUUGCUGGGAUUACAGGCAUGAGCCACCGUGCCCUGCCUCUUUUUUUUCCCUUUUUAAUAGAGACAAGGUCUCACUCUGUUGCCCAGGCUGGUCUCAAGCUCCCCAGCUAAAGUGAUUUUCUUGCCUCGACCUCCCAAAGUGAUAGGAUUAUAGGGGUUAGCCACCAUGCCUGGCUGUUUUGUUUCUAUAGCUUAAAAAAACUUUCUUUUGGUUUUGCAGCAUUUUGAACAGAUUUGUCAAAUUUGAGAAAACCUCUAUCAUGUUUCAUAUAUGGUUUAUAUGAUUUCAGGACAUUUCAAAUUUUCUUGAGCAAAAAUAACCUCAAAUACUCUUUGAGUUCAUCGUAUUUUUAUAGUGGCAGACAAUGAAUUCUGUGAUAUCCUCAUUGAAAUCAGUGUUCGAGGAGUCUGCCUACAUGUGGACCUCCUCAGUUCUGUUUAUAAUACUGCUAUAGUUUGUGCUCCAUGAGUACUGGAAUUCUGAAAAACUCUAUCUCAAAAUAUCCCCAUCGAAAAAGAUAAAAAGCACGGUGUAUUUGUAAUAAUAACGGCAGUAUUAUCAAGUACAGUCCUGCAGUACAUAUGACAUUUCCAUCCACAAUGCACCUCUAAUAGGAUGGCCC